GUUAUUGAAUAUAAAGAAAAGACGAACAGCUCAGUAACUCUUAUUUUAUUUGAUGUAUUAGGAUUAUAACUAUGUUAAAUUAUAGAUAACAAUAAUACAAUAAGAAUAAGAUCUAUCAGUUAGUUGUUAAGGUAAUGGCUUAACAAGACUAUGACGGAUAACGGUAUUACUUUGUAAUAUUCCGGAGAAGGAGCCUGAGAGAUUGCUACUAAGUCUAAGGAUUGCAGCAGGGGCGAAACUUGACCUAUGAUAUGAUAUUGAGGCAGUUAUGAGUAGUAUUUUUAAUUAUUGUAGUAUUGUAAGUAUAUACUACAAGAUAAAUCGGAGGGCAAAUCGAGUGCCAGCAGCCGCGGUAAUACUUGUUCCGAUAGUGUGUAUGAUGAUUGAUGCAGUUAAAAAGUCUGUAGUUUAUGAUUAAUAAGCAUUGUGAGGUAUAUUGUAUGGUUAGGAGAGAGAUGAAAUGUGAUAACCCUAACUGGAUGAACAGAAGCGAAAGCUAUAUACUUAAAUGUAUUAUUAGAACAAGGACGUAAGCUAGAGGAUCGAAGAUGAUUAGAUACCAUUGUAGUUCUAGCAGUAAACUAUGUUAAAUCAUAGAUACAUUUUAAUAUGUAUUUAUGUAAAGAAAUUAAGAUUAUAUUGACUCUGGGGAUAGUAUGAUCGCAAGAUUGAAAAUUAAAGAAAUUGACGGAAGAAUACCACAAGGAGUGGAUUGUGCGG
rnacentral:rRNA from 1 species